GGAUGUGAGGGCGAUCUGGCUGUGACAUCUGUCACCCGAUUGAUCGCCACGGUUGAUUCAGGUGAUCUGGCUGGCUUGGCGGGUGGCCCCUUCUUCCCUCAAAUCUCCACAUGCAUCCCUCCUGAAGCUGUGUGCUGGGUGGAAGAGGACAACCACCCCAGAUAGAUAGAGGAGGACCGUUCCUCGGGCAAGGGUGUACGAGUAGCCGCACUCCCCUGCUAGAACCUCCAAACAAGCUCUCAAGACACAAAGAAAAACAACCACAUAUAGAGACAUGAUUAAAAAGCAUAGGAUUCAAUUCAAAGACUCCCAGUGCCCAAAACUGAAACAAUUU
rnacentral:snRNA from 1 species